GUGCUCGCUUCGGCAGCACAUAUACUAAAAUUGGAACGAUACAGAGAAGAUUAGCAUGGCCUCUGCAAUCGUUCUACUAUAAGGACACGUGCACACGAAUGUU